GUCCAGACUCCUACGGGAGGCAGCAGUGGGGAAUAUUGGGCAAUGGGCGCAAGCCUGACCCAGCAAUGCCGCGUGAAGGAAGAAGGCUUUCGGGUUGUAAACUUCUUUGACAGGGGAAGAGCAGAAGACGGUACCCUGAAAACAAGCCACGGCUAACUACGUGCCAGCAGCCGCGGUCAUACGUAGGAUCCGAGCAUUAUCCGGAGUGACUGGGUGUAAAGAGUUGCGUAGGUGGCAUAAUAAGCAGCUAGUGAAAUCUGGUGGCUCAACCAUUCAGACUAUUAGCUAAACUGUUAAGCUCGAGACCGUUAGGGGUGACUGGAAUUUCUAGUGUAGGAGUGAAAUCCGUAGAUAUUAGAAGGAACACCAAUAGCGUAGGCAGGUUGCUGGGACGGUUCUGACACUAAGGCACGAAAGCGUAGGGAGCAAACGGGAUUAGAUACCCCUGUAC
rnacentral:rRNA from 1 species